rnacentral:piRNA from 1 species
CCCACUGAAAGAAGUCCCCAGAAGAUGAGC